AUUGAACGCUGGCGGCAUGCUUUACACAUGCAAGUCGAACGGUAACAGGGUGCUUGCACCGCUGACGAGUGGCGAACGGGUGAGUAAUGCGUCGGAACGUGCCGAGUAGUGGGGGAUAACGCAGCGAAAGUUGUGCUAAUACCGCAUACGUACUGAGGUAGAAAGUGGGGGACCUUCGGGCCUUACGCUAUUCGAGCGGCCGACGUCUGAUUAGCUAGUAGGUGAGGUAAAGGCUCACCUAGGCGACGAUCAGUAGCGGGUCUGAGAGGAUGAUCCGCCACACUGGGACUGAGACACGGGCCAGACUCCUACGGGAGGCAGCAGUGGGGAAUUUUGUACAAUGGGCGAAAGCCUGAUCCAGCCAUGCCGCGUGUCUGAAGAAGGCCUUCGGGUUGUAAAGGACUUUUGUCAGGGAGGAAAACCCUAGUGCUAAUAACACUGGGGGAUGACAGUACCUGAAGAAUAAGCACCGGCUAACUACGUGCCAGCAGCCGCGGUAA
rnacentral:rRNA from 1 species